rnacentral:rRNA from 1 species
AGAUUGAACGCUGGCGGCAGGCCUAACACAUGCAAGUCGAACGGUAACAGGCCGCAAGGUGCUGACGAGUGGCGAACGGGUGAGUAAUGCAUCGGAACGUGCCCAGUCGUGGGGGAUAACGCAGCGAAAGCUGUGCUAAUACCGCAUACGAUCUAUGGAUGAAAGCGGGGGACCGAAAGGCCUCGCGCGAUUGGAGCGGCCGAUGUCAGAUUAGCUAGUUGGUGGGGUAAAGGCCCACCAAGGCGACGAUCUGUAGCUGGUCUGAGAGGACGACCAGCCACACUGGAACUGAGACACGGUCCAGACUCCUACGGGAGCAGCAGUGGGGAAUA